CCUACGGGAGGCAGCAGUAGGGAAUAUUGCUCAAUGGGGGAAACCCUGAAGCAGCAACGCCGCGUGGAGGAUGAAGGUUUUAGGAUUGUAAACUCCUUUUGUUAGAGAAGAUAAUGACGGUAUGUAACGAAUAAGGAGCGGCUAACACCGAGCCACAUGCCGUGGUAAUACGGAGGGAGCAGGCAUUAUACGGAAUCACUGGGCGUAAAGGGCACGUAGGCGGGAUAGCAAGUCAGAUGUGAAAUCCUUGGGCUUAACCAUAGAACAGCAUUUGAAACUGUUAGUCUAGAGUAUGGGAGAGGUAGGCGGAAUGCUUGGUGUAGGGGUAAAAUCCGUAGAGAUCAAGAGGAAUACUCAUUGCGAAGGCGACCUGCUAGAACAUAACUGACGCUGAGGCGCGAAAGCGUGGGGAGCGAACAGGAUUAGAUACCCGGGUAGUC
rnacentral:rRNA from 1 species